ACACUUCUGGAGGUGGGUUCGUUCGUGCCCGAAGGCUUUUGUUCGUGCUCUCCCUUUCCCGGCGGCUCUCCAUUCUCUCCGGCGCCUCCCACUCAGCUGACUCUCCGGCGACUCCCUACUCCGCCGACUCUCCGGCGCCUCCCCACUCGACUGACUCUCCGACGCCGACAGGUGGUGCUCCUUCACCGGCUGAAGCUUCCGAAUCCAGGCUGGUGAAGCUCGUGGCGAGGGCGUUCUACGACGAUUUCACCACCAAGGGGGAGAACCAGCCGAAGUCGAGGCGCAGCGACAACCACGGCAUCGUAAGAAGUGGUAACCAUCUGACUGUACUGAAAUUUACUGAAUGCCAAAUCGAUGUCACUAUUCCCUGCAUUAACAAGACUUCUCUGGACCUUAAUGCUGAAGUCUCAUGAUGUAUUAGAAAUUACUCUGGGUCUAUUAAGAGGUAACUAUGAAUUUGUUCCAUGGACAAGGGUCUCCAAUAUUCAGUAAUUGAUGUGAUACAUUCUUUUUGUUUGUUGUUACAGAGUUCCUCUGCCAUCUCCAGUGCUGAUCUUUUUGGCAACAGUUCAGAUUCUGCUCUGGACAUUUCUGCAAGUGACCUCAUCAACAGGCUCUCUUUCCAGGCUCAGCAGGAUAUCUCUUCCCUUAAGAACAUCGCGGGAGAGACUGGAAAGAAUAAGUUCCUUUGCGUCCUCCUUCAUAAAUGAUCUCCAAGACAGAGUCCUCUGAUUUGCAGGUCCUCUUGGUCCCGGAGAAGUGAAGUCCGACCCAUCAUCGCCCGAUUAUGUAAUGGAUGUGAAGGAGAGCUUUUAAGAAAUUCUUUUCAGGAGACAAAUAAAGAAUUUACUUUGAUCUAAGACAAUUUGAGAGUAUUUUGUAGCACAGGUAUUGCCUUAA